rnacentral:rRNA from 1 species
UACAGAGGUGGCAAGCGUUGUUCGGAAUUACUGGGCGUAAAGGGCGCGUAGGCGGCCCGCCAAGUCCCGUGUGAAAGCCCUCGGCUCAACCGAGGAACGGCGCGGGAAACUAGCAGGCUUGAGUUCGGGAGAGGGAAGCGGAAUUCCGGGUGUAGCGGUGAAAUGCGCAGAUAUCCGGAGGAACACCGGUGGCGAAGGCGGCUUCCUGGACCGACACUGACGCUGAGGCGCGAAAGCUAGGGGAGCAAACGGG